AACCUGCUGAUUCACCUAGAUCAGGUUACUGGGAAGAAAUCCAAGUCAGACCUCCUGACCUACUCGAAACAGCAUGAGGAAUUUUGGAAAUACAUCUGGUGCUUCCAGUGACUGUAUAAUAAUCAAUGUAUCCUGACUCUAAAGAAAAGCAGAAGUGAAACUGAAAGUACAGACUACAAGGUGGAAUAUGAUCCCUCUACUAUCAACUAAAAGUCUUAGACUUGCUACCCUUCUGAAAAUGGUUCUGAAGGGGCCCAGGAAGAAACCUCCUCUUCCCCAGCUGAGUUGAGAACCAAGUGGAAGACAAAGAAGUUAGACAGCAGAUGAAAAAGUGACCUGCCUUGCACCUUGCCAGUUGGCUUGCUAGCUCUCCCCUGAUUUGAACUUCUGACAACAGAACAUGCUCCACCAAACUUACCAUGUGAAGGACAGCACAUGGGCAUUCUUUCUGAGACCUGCAAAGAAAACAAAGGGAGAGGCUAAGCAGACAAAGGAAAACUCUUUCUUCUCAAAUCAAUCAGAUAAUGAACUCCUGUUCCCUUUAGGAGAAAUGAGUGGGUGGGGAGAGAAAAGCAAGCAGUUGACCUCUGGAGGUCCUUAGACUUAAAAACAUAAAGCCCAAGGAAGAAAAUUCCUCCCCAGCAUUAACUUGGACCAGUAAUGUUUUUCUAUUUAUAUUCCAUAUGUAAAUAUGCCUGUGAGGUAUUAUGUAUUGUCUUUGUGCCUUUAAGUGCAUUUCUUUAAAAAAUCUGUAACUUUAAACUUAAAUAGAAAGGCACAAAAUGGAUUGUUAUUUUAUACAAUGGAGUUCUGAUAUUAAUUAUUGUUACUUCUCACAAAA